GCGGGAACCGGGGGCAGCGUGAAGGGGGAGAAGGGUGCGAGGGAAGGGAAGGAGAGAAGGGGCGGCGGCGGCGGCGAAGGCAGCGGACGAGCGACUGGGAGGAGCCGGCGGGCGGCCAGGGUGGACGAUCGGCAGAUGUCGGGACCUGCCGAAACAUCAGGGCCCAUGCUGUACCUCAUGAGGACUGCCUUUAUAGGCCUCCCACCACCUCCGACUCCUGAGGUCAGAGUUCUUGUUGCCAGCCUGGGGUUCGGAGAGCAGAGGUCCAAGUGGCUGCGGAACCCAGAGUCAGGCCCUACCUAGGGCUUGGUGCCAGGCUCAGCUCGCCCCUCGGGUCAUCGGUGAACCAGUACACUCGGCGGGGGUUGCCUCCUGGAGCAGGUCCUGGCCUGUCUGCGGACUGACCGGACUGGCCUGCCGUGCGACAGGCCGCCUCUGAGAUCCAGAUCUGCUCCCAGACAGCCCCACCUCCAUCAGCGUCACCGCCUCCAGGAGCCGGAGCUGGUUCUCGAAGCACUGCUGGAGGAUGUGCCCAGGGUAGAGAACUCCCUGCCAUUCCCGGAGCCCGUGGCAAAGUUGGUGUUAGUGGCGGUGGCCUGGGCAGGAGACUCCAGCUGGCGGCGUGACCCG
rnacentral:lncRNA from 1 species